UAGGGAAUCUUCGGCAAUGGGGGGAACCCUGACCGAGCAACGCCGCGUGAGUGAAGAAGGUUUUCGGAUCGUAAAGCUCUGUUGUUAAGGAAGAACGAGUGUGAGAAUGGAAAGUUCAUACUGUGACGGUACUUAACCAGAAAGGGACGGCUAACUACGUGCCAGCAGCCGCGGUAAUACGUAGGUCCCGAGCGUUGUCCGGAUUUAUUGGGCGUAAAGCGAGCGCAGGCGGUUAGAUAAGUCUGAAGUUAAAGGCAGUGGCUCAACCAUUGUAGGCUUUGGAAACUGUUUAACUUGAGUGCAGAAGGGGAGAGUGGAAUUCCAUGUGUAGCGGUGAAAUGCGUAGAUAUAUGGAGGAACACCGGUGGCGAAAGCGGCUCUCUGGUCUGUAACUGACGCGGAGGCUCGAAAGCGUGGGGGGCGAACAGG
rnacentral:rRNA from 1 species